AGGGAAGGGAUAAACGCUGAAAGCAUCUAAGUGUGAAACCCACCUCAAGAUGAGAUUUCCCAUGAUUAUAUAUCAGUAAGAGCCCUGAGAGAUGAUCAGGUAGAUAGGUUAGAAGUGGAAGUGUGGCGACACAUGUAGCGGACUAAUACUAAUAGCUCGAGGACUUAUCCAA
rnacentral:rRNA from 1 species